rnacentral:sRNA from 1 species
GUUAGACAUGGUGGCACAUGCCUGUAAUCCCAGUGGCUCAGGAGGCUGAGGCAGGGGGAUCACGAGUUCAAAGCCAGCCUCAGGAAUGGCGAGGCCCUAAGCAACUCAGUGAGACCCUGUCUCUA